AGCCAAACUUACAUAAGCGGCGGCGGCGGCCGCCUCCCCGACCCCGGGGCCGCCGCGACAAUGGCGGCGGCACCCCUUCCCGGUCGAAAGCUGGCAACUUCGGGAUGCGGAGGAAGCAGAGAACGGAGCGGAGGACCCAGGGAGCCUCCAGAGCCUCUCCAAGCCUCGCUCCCAUCUCUUUCUGCACAGGAGCCAAACCUAAAACACCUGCACAAGGAAAACUAUCCCACCAAAUGCCAAGAGCACCCUCCCCUUGCUGCUCUGAAAACACUGGACACAGUAAAUGAACAAGAAAUAGAUCGAAUCCCUGAUGACACAGAGAUACAAGAUUGAAUCGAGCCCUUGCUAUGGAUAUUUCUUGUUGACCAUUUUGGUUGUGCUGGGCCAGGGAAGUCCCUUGGUGGAGCGAAUUUCUGAGGAGGAAGAGAAGAACACGGUGUCCUCAGGAACUGCCCCCCGGGACUUCUCUGUCACAUCUGAUCUCUGAAGAGAGAACCUGGGCUAGCAGCUCCCUUUCAGGAGGGAGGGUUGAAUCAAAAAAGUUCUGAACAUCUUCCAAGAUGAGGAAACUGAGGCCCAGAGAGGCAGAGCCUUGACAUAUAUUUAGCCUGAUAACCACUGAGAAAGGGAGAGACUGAGCCUACACUCAAUUCAUUACAAAAGCCAUAAUCCCAGUAACGAAGAUUUCUUCUUGUAACAAAGAAGACAGUAAAAUCAAAGGGGAAAUAUUUAAAGUGGAAUGAAAGGAAUUGGCACUAGAAAAGACGAUGUGGUGACUGGAGAAAAACAGGAAAAGAUUUUAGAAGUUCUCCAUUGUGGGGGGACUCUACAGUCACUGGCUUUGUCUCUUAUCCAGUUUCCUUCCCUAUUGUACUGACCCUGUGCUUCCUGGAUGUCUGCUCCAAACCAGCAGAAAGAGGAAAGGUUUCCACAUGCUAAUAUGUAAAUCCAAGCAGCCCGUGUCUGCGCGGAGCAACCAGUGACUCAGUAAUGCUCAAAAGCAAGGUCAGAGGCAAAGCAAGCCUGCCUUCCCCCAGAUGCUUGGUGACUGUGUCCUAAUUAUCCACCCUGAAAGUCAGUGCCUGAGGGCAAGUAUGCAGCAGAGAACAGCCGGCACAGAAAUACCUCAGUUCCUGCAGCGGAAAAGACAGAGGGUCAGAAGUUCUAAAUCUUGGACACCACUCUACCAGCAACGAGCUCUCAUUUUGGACAAGUUCUUCAUCCUCUCCCUUUAUAGAAUGAAGACAUCGGACAAGACUAAGCUCCUUAUCCAAUGGAGCUCCAAAGCACCUUAAUUGAAUUACCCCCAAACCCUCACUUCCCUUGCCCAUCUUUCCCCCCAAAUCUACCUAGCACAGCUCUAACCCUCAAUCAGCCCAACUCUUCUAAUCUUUGUGUCGCUGCCCCCAAGCAGCUGAGAAGCACGGGAGAAAGUGUCGCAACUGGGAAGGUGGGUGCCACCCCCGAUCCAGAGCGAGCAGCCUCCCCCUUUAUGCAGCAAAGGUCCUCCCUCAGUUUAGAGAGAAUAGAGAACCCCUCGGUCCCUGCCUUCUGCCUGCUCUGCAGACUCACUGCCGCCACAAGGGAUCUCCUCUUCCCAUCUCAGUAGAAGAGGGAUAUUUCCCUGGACGACGCUCCACUGAUUAGCAUUUCUAUGAGAUAUAACUUUCUUCCAUUUUACUGCGGAUUUCUUCAGCAUAAAAUGCUUCUACAAUCUAUUAAUUUUUUAAAAGCCCUCCCUUGUGUGUUCUGAGGGCCGUUUGCUUUCUUGAGUUAAGCUCAAGAAAGGGUGGUCUGUGACAAUCAUGCCCACUUUCUUUCUUUCUUUUUUUUUUUUUUUUCCCCGGUACGCGGGCCUCUCACUGUUGUGGCCUCUCCCGUUGCGGAGCACAGGCUCCGGACGCGCAGGCUCAGCGGCCAUGGCUCACGGGCCCAGCCGCUCCGCGGCAUGUGGGAUCCUCCCGGACCGGGGCACAAACCUGUGUCCCCUGCAUCGGCAGGCGGACUCUCAACCACUGCGCCACCAGGGAAGCCCAUGCCCACUUUAUCUCAACUCCCUCCUUCAUUCACUUUUACCUGGCUUCUGCCCCGGCCACCCCAAGUGAACACCCCUCUCCAAAUUAUCACCUGCCUUAUUGCUAAAGCCAGAGGACAGGUUCUAGUCGUCAUGCCUAAUAGCACUUGCACUGAAACGUCCUUUCCCUUGGCUUUUAUAAUCCCCCUCUCUCUCUGUCUCUCUCGCUCUCUCCGACUUAAAUGUCGAUCUCCCCCAUCGACAGUGUCUCAGGCUCUUCUUCCCUGAUUGGAUGGAUUUACCAACUUUCUAGAUUUCGUUUUUCCAAAACCGAACCAGUCAUCGUGCUCUCUAAACCCUCUGUGUCCUGCUCAACUUGAGGUACCAGAAGUCACUUUAUCACCAAUAUCAAAAACCUUAACCCCAUUCUUGAAUUCACCAUUUCUUUCACCUUCAUUAUAGUUGGUCAUUGAAUCACAUCAGUUCCACCUCUGUAACGUCACACUCGUUAUCAGGCAGAUGUGAUCUUGUCAUCACCACCAACCACCUCUGAGACACCACACUGAAAAUUUUUAGAGGUUCCAGAGCACCGACAAGAUACAGUGCAGUUCUUUGCCAUGGACCUCAAAGCCUUCUGAAAGCCGUCCCGUACGUACUGCACUGAUCUCACGUCCAGCCACUCUGUGCUGUUGCACUCUGUAUUUCUGUCAAAACAAGUGCCUGUGGUCUCCAGAAUAUCUCAUGCUGGUACUCACCCAGGGGCUUUGCACAUACUUCUCCUUCUGCUAAUUUCUCUUCCUACUCCUCUGCUCCCCAUGUCCGCUGACUCGAGUCUACCUACACAUGCUUCAGACUCAGCUCCGGUGUCUUCUCCACAAAAAGUCUUUCUUGGUGGCCCAGUCUUUGUUGGUCUAGUCCACUAUCUGGAAUAUAGCAAAACGUUUCAAUGUUUUUGACAGUUCAAUGAUCUGCUUCAAUGAUUUUCUCUUUUAUUUUAUUUUUUAAAAUUUUAUUUAUUAUUAUUAUUUGGGGGGCUGCAUUGGGUCUUCGUUGCUGCACGUGGGCUCUUCUCUAGAUGCAGCGAGCAGGGGCUUUAGGAGCGUGGGCUUCAGUAGUUGUGGCGCACGGGCUUAGUUGCUCCGUGGCAUGUGGGAUCUUCCCGGACCAGGGCUUGAACCCGUGUCCCCUGCAUUGGCAGGUGGAUUCUUAACCACUACUCCACCAGGGAAGUCCCGUGAUUUUCUCUUUUAAACAAUUCAAUUUACCCUCAUUUCAUACGCCUGAUCUCUAAAGUACCUCAACUUUAUUUGUGCUUCACUUACUCUUCUUUGGGUCUUUAUCCCAUUUUCAGUGUUAUCACUUUUAAUUCUGUCUUAAACAGUUCUUACAAAAUAUUUUCCGAAUAAAAAUGUUAAAGAGAAGCAGAUGAAGGCAUGGGAUUAAUAGAAAACUGUAAAAUGAAAACGAGAUGGGGUUGGGACCUAGUUUACCAUGGCAUAUCUGGCCCUCCCGCUAUUUCCCCCAUGUGAUAUUUCCAGAGCUGCUUCAGUUACAAUUCCUUAAAUUUUAAAUAUUGUAUAAAGCUUCUAGCUGCCUUGAAUGUAGGAGUUUUCAAAGAGGGCGUAAGUACUAUCAGGGUGUGUUUAAAUGUGAAUAUGAGUGUUAGUAAAGACACAGGCUAAGCUUCUGUGAUGAAGAAACUCAAAAAAAAAAAACAA